rnacentral:rRNA from 1 species
GGGGGCCCGCACAAGCGGUGGAGCAUGUGGUUUAAUUCGAUGCAACGCGAAGAACCUUACCUACUCUUGACAUCCAGAGAACUUAGCAGAGAUGCUUUGGUGCCUUCGGGAACUCUGAGACAGGUGCUGCAUGGCUGUCGUCAGCUCGUGUUGUGAAAUGUUGGGUUAAGUCCCGCAACGAGCGCAACCCUUAUCCUUUGUUGCCAGCGGUUAGGCCGGGAACUCAAAGGAGACUGCCAGUGAUAAACUGGAGGAAGGUGGGGAUGACGUCAAGUCAUCAUGGCCCUUACGAGUAGGGCUACACACGUGCUACAAUGGCGCAUACAAAGAGAAGCGACCUCGCGAGAGCAAGCGGACCUCAUAAAGUGCGUCGUAGUCCGGAUUGGAGUCUGCAACUCGACUCCAUGAAGUCGGAAUCGCUAGUAAUCGUAGAUCAGAAUGCUACGGUGAAUACGUUCCCGGGCCUUGUACACACCGCCGUCACACCAUGGGAGUGGGUUGCAAAAGAAGUAGGCAGCUUAACCUUCGGGAGGGCGCUUACCACUUUGUGAUUCAUGACUGGGGUG